AAGUCGUAACAAGGUCUCCGUUGGUGAACCAGCGGAGGGAUCAUUACAGAGUUGUAAAACUCCCAAACCCAUGUGAACGUACCUCUGUUGCCUCGGUGGCCUACGCUGUAGUUACCCUGUAGCUACCCUGUAGUCCGCCGAAGGACCAAAAAAACUCUUUCAUAUUUGUAUCUCUGAGACAAAAACAAAUAAGUUAAAACUUUCAACAACGGAUCUCUUGGUUCUG
rnacentral:misc_RNA from 1 species